rnacentral:ncRNA from 1 species
AAAACAGUUUUUUUCAAAACUACCAACUCUCACCCAAAAUUGAAG